ensembl:snRNA U6 U6 spliceosomal RNA
GUGCUUGAUUUGACAGCACACAUACUAAAACUGGAAUGAUAGAGAGAAGAUUAGCAAGGUCCCUGCACAAGGACAAUAUGCAAAUUUGUGAAGCGUUCCAUAUCUUU